UUGUUAAAUAUAAUUUAGCAACCAGGUGCACGUGAGCGAUGGUUGAGAGUGAGAUGUCCAUUAGGAAACCAUCAUUCUCUUCAAUGGCUCCACAAAAUUUAUACAGUAACUCUUCUGUGGUGCGCGAGGAGAGGAUCUGCAAGUAAUGAUGGCAGGCCAAUUCUGACUGUGACGUCAUCUUUGUUUCAACUGUUCCUGCAAAGGCGACCUGUUACACAGUAUCUGGGUCUGUUUUUUUAACUGAACAAGGCAUCGAUUUCGUCCAUUUUUCGAUGGACUGGAAAGAAUUGGAAAUCUUUUUUUCUUCAACAUCUUCCUGAACUGAAGUGAAUUGUGUUUCAUAACAAGAACAGAAGUUGAAUGGAAUUUAAGUACCCCAUAUUAUAACUGUAUUAUUUUCAUUAAUUGUACAGCAUCAUUUUUGUGUAUUGCUUCUCUGUCUAACAGUAAAGUGCUGACUUUUUUAUUUAUUUAAUUUUUUUGUAUUUUAAAAGUAAAACUCCAUGGACGCUUCUCAAUAUCCCUCCUCGUCUCCUCGCUCCUCCCUCCUAUGACCCGUAAACCGAUCGAGCUCAGCCAUCUUUAAGGACAUCUCAAUUCUCUAAUUCCACCGUGAGGAGUCGAGGAUCGAGGAGUGAGGAGACUUCCAGAGGAGGCAUGAGUGAGGAUACACAGGUGUAUCCUAUGCGGAGCUGUUUUAUUGACUAAACGUGACGCUCGUGUCAAUUCUCCUCCCCUUCACAUCGAUCACAAUCAUUUUAAUUUAUAAUUUACCUUUGAAGUUUAUAUAAACCACACAUCUCAGAUAUUUAAACAGUGUAGCCUUUCUUUAUUAAUAUUCAUUAUGAAUUUAUUAAAAAACCAAACUUCAACAACAUAAGGGCAGAUCCGGCCAGUGAUCAAGUAUUCCAAUGUAAAAAACACUCUUUAUAACUUCCUUCAACUGUAAGUUUUGAGCAUAGCAGGCUUGUGGGCACUUUCUGAAAAAAAAGGCAUCCCAUGUAAUUUUAUUCUAGAAGGACAUUUAUAUAAUAUUGUUUUAUGUACAGUCUUACAAUUGGUUCCACUUGUGUUACAGUUAUCAGGUGAUGGAUUCAACACUGUAAAAUGAUCAAGUAAAUAAAUAGUGAUUAAGCACAUUGUGAUUCUGUGCAUGAGGAUAAACCUUUGUGAAGGUGAUAUGUUUUUAACAUAUACUUGUAAAUUCUGUUUGAAAAUAAAAGUGGUAAAGGAGCACUUGGUCUGUACCAUGAUGACAGAUGAACAAAGUGACUUUUUUGUCAGACAUGUCACUUCUUUCAUCUGCUCGCAUCUGAUUGGUCCAAUUUCAGUUUGCAAUCUCUAACUCAGAACAUAACCUGCCCUGGAGCAGGCAUGGCAAUGAACCCAGCUAACCAAGCCACUUUAAUGGUCCAGGAUUGGUGCAAACUAAACUUAAACUUACCUGGCUAGCCAGCUAAACCGGCUUCAUGGUAUAGACCCCCUGAUUCAACUCCUGAUUUAAAUAACUGGCAAUUUGCUAAAAACUGAUCACAAUGUUGGGGAACUCCAAGGAAAAUGUUCAGGCAACAUUAAAACAUUGUGCAUGACCAUCCUUUAUGUCUUACACUAUUUAAAAAAAAAAAAAAAA